rnacentral:rRNA from 1 species
GACGAACGCUGGCGGCGUGCCUAAUACAUGCAAGUUGAGCGCUGAAGGUUGGUACUUGUACCAACUGGAUGAGCAGCGAACGGGUGAGUAACGCGUGGGGAAUCUGCCUUUGAGCGGGGGACAACAUUUGGAAACGAAUGCUAAUACCGCAUAAGAACUUUAAACACAAGUUUUAAGUUUGAAAGAUGCAAUUGCAUCACUCAAAGAUGAUCCCGCGUUGUAUUAGCUAGUUGGUGAGGUAAAGGCUCACCAAGGCGAUGAUACAUAGCCGACCUGAGAGGGUGAUCGGCCACAUUGGGACUGAGACACGGCCCAAACUCCUACGGGAGGCAGCAGUAGGGAAUCUUCGGCAAUGGACGAAAGUCUGACCGAGCAACGCCGCGUGAGUGAAGAAGGUUUUCGGAUCGUAAAACUCUGUUGGUAGAGAAGAACGUUGGUGAGAGUGGAAAGCUCAUCAAGUGACGGUACUACCCAGAAAGGGACGGCUAACUACGUG